UUUUGGACAAUGGGCGAAAGCCUGAUCCAGCAAUGCCGCGUGUGUGAAGAAGGCCUUCGGGUUGUAAAGCACUUUUGUCCGGAAAGAAAUCCUCUGGGUUAAUACCUCGGGGGGCUGACGGUACCGGAAGAAUGAGCACCGGCUAACUACGUGCCAGCAGCCGCGGUAAUACGUAGGGUGCAAGCGUUAAUCGGAAUUACUGGGCGUAAAGCGUGCGCAGGCGGUUUUGUAAGACGGAUGUGAAAUCCCCGGGCUUAACCUGGGAACUGCAUUCGUGACUGCAAGGCUAGAGUAUGGCAGAGGGGGGUAGAAUUCCACGUGUAGCAGUGAAAUGCGUAGAGAUGUGGAGGAAUACCGAUGGCGAAGGCAGCCCCCUGGGCCAAUACUGACGCUCAUGCACGAAAGCGUGGGGAGCAAACAGG
rnacentral:rRNA from 1 species